AUGGCUUGACUUCCUUCCAGAGUUCAGUUGCAUUUCUUCCUCAACCUGUAGCAAAAAUCCUUGUAUUUGGAAAAGGAAAACCCUAAACCCUCUUCCUUCUGAUUCAUAUUCAGAUGAGGCUCUCUCUCUGUCUCAAAAUGAAGCUCUGUCCAAGCCUCCUGAUUUCUCUCUUGCCAAAACGCUUUAUAAAGACAGCACCUUCUCCUCCCAUAACUCCACUACCCACCAGAAGUAAUACCACCUCAUCUUCUCCAUCAUCGUUUACACUUCAAUUUCUUGUUAACUCAUGUGGGCUUCCUUUAGAAACUGCUCUUACUGCAUCCAAGAAGUUCCAUCUCAACGAGAAGAACGUCCACAAGACUCAAUGUUUGCUCCAUUUCUUGAAAUCUCACCACUUUGUGGACACACAUAUCGCCGAUCUGAUAAAAAAGAUGCCCGCUUUCCUUGGUUGUAAAGUAGAAAACAAUCUAAAGCCCAAGUUCGAGUUCCUCGCCGCAAAUGGCGUUUCUGGUAACCUCCUUCCGCAACUUAUCCUAUCAAAUCCUGAUAUUUUGUGGACGUCCUUGGAAUCUACUAUCAAACCAUCUUUCAAGUUUUUGAAGUCUUUUCUUGGUACCAAUGGGAAAAUUACAGCGGCUCUUAAGCGUUGUUCAUGGUUGUUGAGAGUUAAUCGGAACAGAACUAUGCAAACAAAUAUUGAUUUGUUGAUUAAAGAAGGAUUGCCUCUUGACCGGCUUGCAAAACUCAUUAUCUCGAAUCCAAGAUCUCUGCUAUCUAAGCAUGAUAAGAUAGUUUAUGCAGUGAAUUCUGUUAAGACUCUGGGCCUUGAAACAAACGAUACUAUGUUCAUAUAUGCUCUUGGGGUGAAGAUGAAAAUGACUGACACGACUUGGAAGAAGAAAAUUGAGGUGAUGAAGAGUUUGGGUUGGAGUGAAGAGGAGAUUUUUGGCACUUUCAAGCGAUGCCCUCAAAUAUUGCAAUACUCGGAGAAGAAAAUCAGGAUUACCGUGGAUUUUUUUAUCAAUACCGUUGAUUUGGGACCAGAAAUUCUACUGGUCUAUCCUUCUUUGUUUUGCCUCUCAGUUGAUAAGAGGGUUCGUCCAUGGUAUAAUGUUAUUAAUGUUUUGAAGUCAAGGAACUUGAUUAAAAGAGAAAAGAAGUUUCCUUCUUUGCUACUGAUGAGUGAGAAGAAAUUCUUGGAGAAUUAUGUUGAUAAGUAUGUGGAUGAUGUCCCUGGUUUAUGGGAGGUGUAUACGGGCACUGCCAACACAAAGAAGAAAGGCACUUGAUGACAGAGAUGUAAGUUCACUUGUGCAAUACAAAGUGCUAUGUAGUUGACUAAAUAGCUCAUCUGCUUUUGAUUUACAGCUAGUUUUUGUUUGUUCAAUGUAUAUUGUUCGUUUCUUAUCAUUUUGCAUAUGUGCUUUCAUAGCCUUGUUUUUUUUCCCGUUCAUUUCUGUGACCCCUUUUCAUCUUUUACUCAGUUUGAGCUUCCUACAUUAACGUGCCAACCUAAGAGCCUUCAAUUGCCUUGUUAGAGUGUUGUGCAAAAACAUUAUGCAUAUUAAAGCUCAUGUUAAAAUGAGCUUGCAUUACAAAGAUAUGCAUUCAUUGGCAUUCCAACUUUCCAAUUGAACACAAAACUUAACCACUUAGUAUUUGUAGGCUGGUUGAUGAUGGUAGCAAGAUGGGAAAAUUGAACUUUAUGUUGCGCAAAAAAGGUUGGAAACUGGAGUGCAGUGCGAACCAUUGAUUAAACAAGGAAUUGUGUAGGGAUGUACUCUUGUGCGAGCUAUGAUUCUGGUUUGGCAAACAGUUAAGGAAUGCUCAGGGAAAUGUCGAGGAUAGUUAACCCUAUUUGGGAAGGGUUAGGGUACAGAUAGGUAGAUUUGGACGGUCAAUGAUUUGGGGAAACUUCAGUGCAACGCUACUUGCUGGCUGUUUAAUGAUCAGGUAAAAAUGAUAAGAGCAUUUCUCUGAAGUUGGUGAUGAAAAUGAAGAGAGCGGUUUCUUUGAAGCAGGAUCAAUGGUCAUUUAUGGCUUUUGUUCCAUCAAAGGAGAAGAUCAGAUAUUAAGAAUUGCCAUGGCCAGUUGGCUCCAUGCUCUGGGAUACAAAUAUUUGCUGAUGCAUUUGCCAAACUCGAAAGGAUGGUCUCAAAGCAACAGUGUUUCUACAAGGGAGAGGUUGAUUUUAGACAUACAGUGAAUAAAAGCCUCGGUUUCAAUUUCUAUGAGGUGCUCAAAUCAUUAUAUUUAUGCUUUAGUGAAGGUUCCUUCAGUCCAUGUUGGGUUACAAGCUUUGAAGGCUAGGAAAUAUUCAUGUUUUUUUGCGCUCGUCCUGUGCUCUGGGGUUUAAGUUGUUCCACUUUUCGAGGGCCUUCAUGUAAAUGUCUCCCAUUUCUUUCUGUUGGGUUACAAUUUCUAUUUCUUUUUUUUAUCUAAAUGUAUUUACAAGGCUCCUCUAAUUAAUCAAAAUCUCCUAUGCUAUUCAAUAUUCAAUUAA